rnacentral:lncRNA from 1 species
CUACGAUACUUUGGACCUAACAAUUGGCAUCAGAGCAGGCUGAUAUACAAAUCAGGAUCCUAAUCGUACGGAAAAUCAAGAACCUAGCUUUUGAUAUUUGAUUAGGGGAAAUGUUCUUCCCGUUUGUGUUGCUGAAUUUGUCUGUAGGCCUAAGCAAGGAUUAUCCGUCGGAUACUGAACUUUGGACCAGGACUUAUAAAUUUAUACUUUAAAUUUUAAUAAGUUUAUUUUAUAAAUUUGACUUAAUUUAUUUUAAACUUAUUAAUUGAGUUUAUUAUG